UCCCUGAUAGCUCAGCUGGUAAAGCAUCUGCCUGCAAUGCAGGAGACCUGGAUUUGAUCCCUGGGUUGGGAA
rnacentral:tRNA from 1 species